CCCUCACGUUUUGUAUCCCUUUCAACUUCUUCGAUGUGAAUCCCUCAAGUUUCCUCAUAAAACAACGUUACCUUCUUCUUCUCUAUGAAUUGCAAAAAACCCCCCAAUCUGAUUUUGAAAACCCCAAAUUCUGUCUUCUGCUUCUCAAUCGUAGAAUAUGAUUUUGAUUUUGAGACAUUCUUCUUCUUCUUCUUCUCUGUGAUUUCUCUCAGUCCCCCACGUGCAUUUUGAUUUCCCCCCCUCUCCCAUUCGCUUACACUGUGAUUUUCCCCCGAUGUGAUUUCUCCCAUCUCAAUCACACGACCUUUCAUCUCAGUCCCGCGAUGGUGUGAGUCCAAUCCUCCCCUCCACUCUUCAGCAACCUUCAUCCCUCUUCUCUUCGAAAUCUUCAUCUCUUCAUCCCUCUUCUCUUUGAAACCUUCAUCUCCCCCCUCUUCUCUUCAACGACCUUCAUCUCCCCCUCAUCUCUAUAGCUCACCCUCCAUUCCUUUGCUUUUCCCCCAAAAUGAAAUGUUACAUGGCCUCAGAGAAGGAGAUUGGAGAAGAUAAAGGUGGAGACUUUGGGGGAUUCUGGAAGAGAGAGGUCGAAGGUGAGAGAGAAGAAGUGAAGUAGAUGAGAAGUUAGGUGGGCUCCAUUACACCAUUUAUGGAUUUGUUCACAACAGAAAUCUAACAUGUAACAUCUCCUCUCAGCGACCUGCGAUAGAGAUCUGGAAGGGCAUCGCAGGGUGGAUCUACGGAAGAGAUUUGCCGGUCACGCAGUAAGGGCAGCACACUAGCAUUUGGAAGGUAGAACACGUCCCUGCGUCCAGAUCUGCUGCCAUGAAUUGCAUGUAUUACAAGAAGACUGCUAUACAAGCUACACAAGCUCUGCAAGAAUUGCAUGUAUUACAAGAAGACCCCUCAAAAGAAUUUCAUGUUUUCUGCAAUGUUCUUUCCAGCUCUACAAAACUCGGGAGGAGAAUUGCAUAUAUUACAAGAAGACUCCUCAAAGAAUUGCAUGCCCUGCCCUUGGAUUAUACCCUUGAGGAUGCUUAACAUAUGACUCUUGCCUUUGGUUUUUAUCUGAUCUGAAUCCAAGGUUACUUUUGUAAUAGAAAUCUAAACUUACCUUCUUGUUCUUGUUUCUUUGGUUAACCAUUGACUUGGGGAGAUCGUUAAUUGUCUGUGUUUCAUUUCAUUUCUUGUUUUGAUAUAAAUUAUAGAUCAUAUGUCAGAAAAAUUUGAUUCCCAUUAUGGAAAAAAAAUGUC